ensembl:lncRNA
GAUGGCUCAGAGGUUAAGUGCACUGGCUGCUCUUCCAGAGGUCCUGAGUUCAAUUCCUAGAAACUACAUGGUGGCUCACAACCACCUGUAAUGAAAUCUGGUGCCCUCUUCUGGCCUGCAGACCUAUAGACAGACAGAACACUGUACACACAAUGAAUAAAUAAAUAUUUAAAAAAAAUACUAAGCAAAAAACAACAACAAAAAAAACUGCCUGGCUUCUUUUCCUGUGUUUUGAAAAUAUGACCAUAGAUAAAAGUAAAAAUUUCUUUAUGCAAGACACAAAAUUUCUUUAUGUAAUAUUGAACUUUACAGUUGAAAUUUCGCGUGUGUUUUGGUUUUUCAAGGCAGGGUUUUACUGUGUUGUAUACCUGGUUGUCGUGGAUAUCACUGUAUAGACCAUGGUGGCCUCCAACUCCGAGAUCCACCUGCCUCCUCCUCAUGAGAGCUGGAACUAAAGCAUAAAAAGCCACAUGGAAAGGACAAAGAAAACAGAGGCAUUAACCCAGUGGAGAAGUCUAAAGUGGAAGAGACUUCAGAGUACUCUGUCACAAAAAGCAGAUUGCCACUUCGAGCCUCAAAUCUCUAAUUAAUCUGAGGGCUAAGGUUUUCUUUUCUUAAAAAGUAAAACCUGAAACUUCAUAAUUUGAACUUUUAUACAGAUUUCAAUGGGAUAGACUAUGUCAAGACAUCACAGUAACUAGUUGAAUUGAGUCCUUUUUAAUCAUCCUUAUAGUUUAAGCAUGUAGUAAAUUUGGUUUCAUUUGGAAUUUAUAUUAUGUGUGUUUCUAGCUUAUAUAAAGUAGCUCUUCUGUAAUGCGUUGUUUUCUUGUAUAUUAUUAAAUACCAAAUAUAUGGAAAUUGUUCUUCCAGGCUUGGACUUAAAUGGAUGAAUGUCAUCUCCCUUCCUGUCUUGCUAGGCCUGAGUUCUGUAUGUAUUUUCUUACCUCUAACCUGCCUUUUCUGUUUUGUCUUAACUCACCUCUCUCUUUUCCUGUCACUAAACCAUUUGUAGACCUACAGAAAGGUUUCCUUAUUAUGAGAUACCCAGGGCUUUACCUAGAAAUCUGGUUUCAGUGAUUACAGUCAUUGCCAAUAAUAAACCAGACCCUAGAAGUACCCUUCCUUCAGUACUGUUCAUUUGUUCCUCCUUCAGUAUAUAAGCAUCUCAUUUCUUCCCUAGGCCUAACACAGUCUCCCACAGUUCACGUGCAGCCUCCCAGAGUGUCCGUUGCUGUUACAGGAGACCUGUUAGAGCUGUGAUUUAUUCUUUAAGACUACCAAUUAUGAUUAUAACUUCUAUUGUGUCUAUCUUUCAAAAUUUUAUUUUUUUGUAUAUAAUAAAAUGUGUAUAUACAUUCACUCUGUUGAAAUCUUAACCCUUGUACAACUAUAUUUCUGGAAGUUGGGCCAUUCCAAGUUGAAGAACCAGCGCACUUACCUAGAAGGAACGAGAAGGAACGUGUGCAGAGAGUAAAUGUGAUCACAUCGAGUUUAGUGUAUGCAUUUUAAAGAGAUGUAACUUUUUAUGUUUUUGAGACAGUCUCGCUAUGUAGCUCAGGCUGGCUUUGAACUUACUAUGCAGCCCAAACUAUCCUAGAACCCAGGACAACCCUCUGUCAUCCUUCCAAGGGCUGGGGUUACAGGCAUGUGUCACUAUGACUUUAGAGAUUUGACUUUGUAACUAAGAACUAAACCUUAAUAGGAAAUUAAGAAAAAAUGCUACUUCAAGAAAUUAAGUUUCCUUGUGUCAUCUCUCCAGCCCAUUGUAGAGACAGAAAUGUUAUUUUAAUAAAAAUAAUGGAUAAAUUUCUUUGCAAAUAAAUAUGUGAAUAUUAUCUAACAUGCUCUUGGUAAAUCUAUAAUUGGUAAAUUUUUUAAUUAAAUUA